CUGCAGCUAGAUCAUCUAACACCAUUGUUAGGGGAUCCUUAGGAUGAUUAGUCUCCUUUUAUCUUGUAUUUGUAUUUUGGUUUCUGAAAUUGUACUCAGUGUAAUCCUUCCAAUUAUGUAAAUAAAAGAGAUUUUAUGGUCAAUCAAAUUGUUACAAUUGUUGUUAUUGUAUAUAUUUGCAAAUAAAACAAGUAAGUUCCUUAAAAAUAAAAACAAUCAAAACAUUACAUUUCAUGCAUCAUUU
rnacentral:lncRNA from 1 species